rnacentral:tRNA from 1 species
GCGCCGCUAGCUCAGUUGGUAGAGCAGCUGACUCUUAAUCAGCGGGUCCGGGGUUCGAGUCCCUGGCGGCGCA